ACGGCAGCACGGACUUCGGUCUGGUGGCGAGUGGCGAACGGGUGAGUAAUGUAUCGGAACGUGCCCAGUAGCGGGGGAUAACUACGCGAAAGCGUAGCUAAUACCGCAUACGCCCUACGGGGGAAAGCAGGGGAUCGCAAGACCUUGCACUAUUGGAGCGGCCGAUAUCGGAUUAGCUAGUUGGUGGGGUAACGGCUCACCAAGGCGACGAUCCGUAGCUGGUUUGAGAGGACGACCAGCCACACUGGGACUGAGACACGGCCCAGACUCCUACGGGAGGCAGCAGUGGGGAAUUUUGGACAAUGGGGGAAACCCUGAUCCAGCCAUCCCGCGUGUGCGAUGAAGGCCUUCGGGUUGUAAAGCACUUUUGGCAGGAAAGAAACGUCAUGGGCUAAUACCCCGUGAAACUGACGGUCCUGCAGAAUAAGCACCGGCUAACUACGUGCCAGCAGCCGCGGUAAUACGUAGGGUGAAGCGUUAUCGGAUUACUGGGCGAAAGCGUGCGCGGGGUUCGG
rnacentral:rRNA from 2 species